GUCCACGCCCUAAACGAUGUCAACUUGUUGUUGGACGGCUUGCUGUUCAGUAACGAAGCUAACGCGUGAAGUUGACCGCCUGGGGAGUACGGCCGCAAGGUUGAAACUCAAAGGAAUUUACGGGGACCCGCACAAGCGGUGGAUGAUGUGGUUUAAUUCGAUGCAACGCUAAAACCUUACCUACCCUUGACAUGCCAGGAACUUGCCAGAGAUGGCUUGGUGCUCGAAAGAGAACCUGGACACAGGUGCUGCAUGGCCGUCGU
rnacentral:rRNA from 1 species